rnacentral:rRNA from 1 species
CCUACGGGAGACAGCAGUGGGGAAUAUUGCACAAUGGGGGAAACCCUGAUGCAGCGACGCCGCGUGAGUGAAGAAGUAUUUCGGUAUGUAAAGCUCUAUCAGCAGGGAAGAAGAAAGACGGUACCUGACUAAGAAGCCCCGGCUAACUACGUGCCAGCAGCCGCGGUAAUACGUAGGGGGCAAGCGUUAUCCGGAUUUACUGGGUGUAAAGGGAGCGUAGACGGCUGUGCAAGUCUGAAGUGAAAGCCCGGGCUCAACCCUGGGACUGCUUUUGAAACUGUGGAGCUAGAGUGCUGGAGAGGUAAGUGGAAUUCCUAGUGUAGCGGUGAAAUGCGUAGAUAUUAGGAGGAACACCAGUGGCGAAGGCGGCUUACUGGACAGUAACUGACGUUGAGGCUCGAAAGCGUGGGGAGCAAACAGGAUUAGAUACCCCUGUAGUC